AGACAUUCGACGGGUCCAUGUAAACAGCGAGAUCGUAUUUUUUUAACAAUCCAAAGGCGAUAUACACUUGAUAGAUGCUUUUGUGUCAAUUUAACCGUUUUACACUUGAAAUACCUGAGAAGUUAAGAUGGAAAAGGAAACAAGACACGGAGAUCCAUUAAUUUGCACUCCUGUAAAGAAUUUCAAUCAGUUAAAAUUAAAUUUACUUCAAGUAUUUGGAAACACCCACGCUGUUUUUAGUGCGCAAUGUACUACCAAGUAUGGAAUGUGGUGCCCACACAGUCGAUCCUUUCAUUGGAGCAGUGAGAAUUCCAGAAAAUACGCCAACAGCAUUGUUUCCAAGGAGCCGGACUUCUUUGGAUGCCAUUCCAUGAAUUUUAAAAGCGCACUGAAGUUUUAUUAUAUUUCAUAGGCUGUCCUGACGGUGUACAGAAAACAUUGUAAUCCACUGUUCAUUACUCAAAUUCAACCACAUAUAAAUUGACAAUUCUCAAUUUUAUUUGAAAAUAUUUUGCAGUGGCCAUGGAAUUUAACAGCCACGUGUUGCUCAAAACUGAUCAACCAGCGCCGAGGUUUCUACAAAUGUUAGACGUUUGUGAAAAUAAUGACAACU